CAGAUAUUAGUUUAUAAAAAUUUUAAUUUUGGAGAUUAAAGAUAGGAAUAAUUUCUUAUAUCUGA
rnacentral:tRNA from 1 species